UUAGAUAAUUUUUAGAUAGGUAUCAAUUGAGUAUUUGUGAGCACGUUGCACAAAUAGGAGUGGAGCUAUGUAAAAUAGAUAUUAAUUCAUUUUUGAAAGAUAUUGGUAAAAUAUAUUAAUAGUCCAUAUAAUAAGAAAUUCAGGAUGAUGGAUGAGUAAUUUAGUUAUUAAAAGUGAUUAAUUACAGAAUUAUAGUUAGAAUCUGGAGAAUCAGAGGAAAAUAUAUAGGAGUUGUAGAAGUUAAUUAAGGUGCCAUCGCUGUGAUAGUUGUGAGUUGGGAUAAGCUUGGUGCUACCUCUUUUCUUUUGUUUGUUAUUUUCUUUGAAUAAGAGGAUUGAGAGUUUUUGAAUAUUGUGAAGUGAAUUAUGGAAUGGAAAUGUGAUUGGUAUUAUUUGAGAAGAAGAAAGAUUGAAUGCUAAAAUUUGAUUGUAGUUCAGUAGAGAGAAUGAGUCUGUGUUUGUGUGAAGCACCGUAAAGUGAAUGGCAGUUCUUAGUGAAGAAUUCCAGUGAUUGGAAUGAGGGUAAUUGUAUGCUGAAAGUUGUGAAGGUGCAAUAUUACAAUUGGAGAUUAUGAGGGUGAAUAUAUUGGUAGAAAUAGCAGUUAUUGGUAUGACUGAAUUAUUGUAAAGAAGAGACCAAUAAGGUGAAGGAG
rnacentral:lncRNA from 1 species